UAUGAAUGAAUUUUCUAAGGGUUGGUUUUUUUGUUUUUCUGAACUUAUAUUUUUGUUGAAAAUAACAAUAGUUUUUCUAAGACUAAAAGACCCUAAAAUUUUUAUAAUUCUUUAAUUAUUUGGUUGGGGAAACAAUUAAUUUUUAAAUGUUUAAAUAUUUUUUUAUAAAAGAACUUUUAAUAAAGAGAGUUUGUUAAAAUACUCUAGGG
rnacentral:rRNA from 1 species